rnacentral:rRNA from 1 species
UACAGAGGUCUCAAGCGUUGUUCGGAUUCAUUGGGCGUAAAGGGUGCGUAGGCGGCGCGGUAAGUCGGGUGUGAAAUCUUGGAGCUUAACUCCGAAACUGCAUUCGAUACUGCCGUGCUUGAGGACUGGAGAGGAGACUGGAAUUUACGGUGUAGCGGUGAAAUGCGUAGAUAAUCGUAAGGAAGACCAGUGGCGAAGGCGGG